rnacentral:rRNA from 1 species
UACGGGAGGCAGCAGUGGGGAAUAUUGCACAAUGGGCGAAAGCCUGAUGCAGCUAUGCCGCGUGUAUGAAGAAGGCCUUAGGGUUGUAAAGUACUUUCAUCGGGGAGGAAAAAACAAAACUAAUAAUUUUAUUUCUUGACGUUACCCGAAAAAGAAGCACCGGCUAACUCCGUGCCAGCAGCCGCGGUAAUACGGAGGGUGCUAGCGUUAAUCAGAAUUACUGGGCGUAAAGAGCACGUAGGUGGUUUUUUUAAAGUCAGAUGUGAAAUCCCUGGGCUUAACCUAGGAACUGCAUUUUGAAACUGAAAUACUAGAGUAUCGUAGAGGGAGGUAGAAUUCUAGGUGUAGCGGUGAAAUGCGUAGAUAUCUGGAGGAAUACCUGUGGCGAAAGCGGCCUCCUAAACGAAUACUGACACUGAGGGUGCGAAAGCGUGGGGAGCAAACGAGGGAUUAGGAUACCCGU